AACAUUUUUCUCAAGAAAAUACUCAACGUACGGUUCAACAAUUCUCCACUCGGUGUUUUGGAUCAGAAGCAUCCGGUCGAAGAAUUUGAAUUCCUCAAACGAAGCUGCCCAUUUCUGAGAUAUUGCACACAAGACACAUCUGAGAGGAAUACAUCACAUUUACGGCCAUUCCAUUCGUCUCUAUGUCUACGCGACUCAGAUUUAAUUUGGAGCAACAGGUGGCUAUUCAAUAAACCGGAAAUAUGAUUGCAGGGCAGGGUACAUCCGAAUUUUGCUAGAUAAACUUGGAUGAGGUGAUACCCAUUUGUUCAUGUAGUGGGAAAGUAGUUUUUUAUACUGUGUAUCCACAAAGUUACAAUAAUCCUGCAGCUCUUUGGUGCGUACAGUGUAUAUGCAGAAAUACUGGGAAACCAACCACAACAAAAUCUGGCAGAUCGAUUUGCAAUCGAGAAAAUACGUUAUUGCCGACUCGACGUCGCGCAGUGCGGACGUAUUUGUGAGCAUAAAAUUGAAUACAAGCUAUCUUCUGUUUCGUGGAUUAAACUGGACACAACGCUACAUCAAUACGGUGAGAUCGUUUCUGUAUAUCUGGUCUGUAUAUACUUCUGUAUAAAACGUGACUGAAAUCCAGUACAAAUUUUCUUCCGAGUGUGACCGUUUAUCACGGAUAAAGCUGUUUUGAGUUAUAAGACGGACGGCGAGGAAUCGCCAACCUUUCCGCAGUGGGGAAGAGGAAGGGGGACGAUAGUAAUUUUAAUGCCCCAAGUAAAGUAAAAAUCCACACAAUAAGUCAAGAAAAUGACGUCACAUACACCUACUUUGUUGUACAGGGUACUCAGAAUAAGAGGAGAACGUACAAUUCUAAAGUUAUACAAAGAAAUUUAGUGCAAAACUUUGGAACAUUAAAAUCGGUCCGUGUGCUUGGUUAUGGGGAUUUAAAAAUGGAAUGUUCAAACGAAAAGCAAGUUAAACUACAGUUGGAAUAUGAUGAUAUCGGCGAUAGCACAACCAGCAUUUUAGUGACGACCGAAUUGUUUGUAAACAAUGACCAAAAAACUAAAGUGAUAAUUAUCGAUGUGCCAAUUGACAUGGCCGAUAAUUGUUUGUUGGACGCAUUAUCCGUUGUGUUGUCUUUUCGAAGGCAAGUUUGUGCAGAGUAUACCAGUUUUGCUUAGUUUUAACACAUGCAUUGUACCAUCAAUCGUAUCUAUCGGCUUUAUGCGAUUCAGUACCAGAGUUUACAACCUUCCGCCGAUUCGUUGUUUUAAAUGUAUUAGAUUGACAAUGUAGCUAAAAAUUGUCGUUGUUCAGUUCACAUCGCUGCACAUUGUGGCUGCGAAGCAUAUAAAAGGAAACGAUUGAUUCAGAAAACAAUGGCGAGUACAAAACUAUCGUAUGAGGAGGCAAAGAACCAUAUUAAACAAACUUUUUCAGAACACAUGCAAUUUUCAGCAAAUGAAAUUAUUUUCCGGCUCUUCCCAGUUGUUAUGAUUUGAAAGAUAUAUUGUUAACAUACAAGUCAUCUCAACAAGUGCCUAUUAUUGGUCAAUCUAAUCAAGUAAAAGAAGAUAAGAAUGCACCUAUAUCUCUGGACCCAAUACCAUUUUUUGAUAAAGAACACGUUUGAGGUUUCUCAAAGUGGAAAAGAAUGUGAUGUUUACUCUAUUGUCUCGAUGUCCGCUGGCGCUCAAUUUGGUUUCGAUGUCGACGCUGGCAACCUUAAAAAUGCAAUAAAAAAGCAUUCAACCAAAAAAUAAAACUAACUAUCAUCCAAUAGAAUAUACCGGAACCCGGGAGAAAUAAAAAUUUUUAUUCGUGCUUCACACCCAAAACCUGACUUAAGAGCCCUUCAAGAAAGCAAUCUGAUAGGAUGCUUGUUAUCUUAAAAGCAAUCCUAAAUAGAGCUCAGUUAAAAGCACAAACUCUCGAUUAACUAGAGUUUAACCCAGCACACAAAUUCCCUCUGACUCAGUUAGGGCCCUAAAAACGGAGUUGGGGGUUUCGGCAUAAUAAUCGUGUCUAAAAUUGUACAAAUCUCUACAAAAUAAUAACGUAAAAAAUAUAAAAUUGUAAGAUAACACUGAAUUUAUAACAUAAUUAAUUGAGUGAAUUGAGGUUAUCCCUGAUGCUAAAAUAGUAAUUCGA